UUAUUAAUUUUUGAUAUCAUGUCUAUAUAUACAUAUAUUGAUUGACUUAUACUUUUAGAAAUUGUUUCAUGGUUUGCCCAAACUAUAAUAUAUCUUUGCCUAUGUCAUAAUCAUGAAAUACACAAGUUUAUGCAUAAAAUUUUGAUUUAAAAUAAUUUGUGAGAAGUUAUGAAUCCUUGAGCACAAUGAAAAUAUUGUUUGCAUGAUAUACAUCUAUAUGAUACAUAAGAUUAUUUCAUUAUUCUGCUCUUUCAUGUAAAUUACUUGAGAAUAAUGAAGAGAGAGAGAGAUAAAGAAAAGAAAAUGGAUAUUACUCAAGAGAUAAAAAAUCUAAGCAAAAGCAAGUACUCCAAUCUUAAGGAAAAGCAAAACAAGCAUAAUAUACUCGGCAUAUUUGGAAGUGAUAAAAUCCAUAAUUAAUUACACUUAAACAGGGAGAGUUUGAAGUGAACAUUUUAACCUUUCUAUAUUGCUCAUCAUAGGGAUGGUGCCAAUGGGGAGGCUAGUGGUAGUACCCGGCACUAUUUGACCCAAAUAUUCGGUGUAGGGCAUAUUAGGGACGGCACAAGAGGGAGGCUAGUGGUAGUACCUCGUGCCCCUUCCCAACUCCACCGGAUAGGGAGCAAAUAGAGUAUAGAGCAUAAGAAAGUAAAAAUGAAAGACAAAGUUAAUAAAAGUAUAUAAGAAGAAUCAAGUCAAUUUUUUAAACACUUGAAAACAUACUUUAAGGAUGAAAUCAGUGCAAGAUUAUAUAUAAAUAGGG
rnacentral:lncRNA from 1 species